rnacentral:rRNA from 1 species
UCGAGAAUCUUCGGCAAUGGGCGCAAGCCUGACCGAGCGACGCCGCGUGCGGGAUGAAGGCCUUCGGGUUGUAAACCGCUGUCGUAGGGGAGGAAGGUCUGGUGUAGAACCAGGCUUGACCGAUCCUAGGAGGAAGGGCCGGCUAAUCUCGUGCCAGCAGCCGCGGUAAUACGAGAGGCCCAAACGUUAUUCGGAAUUACUGGGCUUAAAGAGUCCGUAGGCGGCGCAGAAAGUAGGGUGUGAAAGCCCUCGGCUUAACCGAGGAAUUGCGCUCUAAACUGCUGUGCUUGAGGAACCUAGAGGUGAGCGGAACUGAUGGUGGAGCGGUGAAAUGCGUUGAUAUCAUCAGGAACACCGGAGGCGAAGGCGGCUCACUGGGGGUUAUCUGACGCUGAGGGACGAAAGCCAGGGGAGCGAACG